rnacentral:rRNA from 1 species
UACGGGGGGGGCGAAGCGUUGUUUCGGAAUACUGGGCGUAAAGCGUGCGCAGGCGGCGCGUUAAGACAGAUGUGAAAUCCCCGGGCUCAACCUGGGAACUGCAUUUGUGACUGCAUCGCUGGAGUGCGGCAGAGGGGGAUGGAAUUCCGCGUGUAGCAGUGAAAUGCGUAGAUAUGCGGAGGAACACCGAUGGCGAAGGCAAUCCCCUGGGCCUGCACUGACGCUCAUGCACGAAAGCGUGGGGAGCAAACCAGG